GUCUUAUCCAAGCAGCCAGUAUUUCUAGCCUGAGUUACUUCAGUAGAGUCUUCUUCUGGGGUCUCCAUCCCUUGCCUUAUUCUGCAUGCUAUCAGCAUAGCAAGCACAGACUCACUCCUUUGCCCCAAAUGCAUAGUGGCUUCCUAUUCAUCCAGAAUACAAGCUCCAACCCUCACAAUGAUGACAAGACCUGUAGAAUUCUGAUCUCCAUUAUUUCUUUUUCUUUUUAUUUAUUUAUAUUAGGUAUACAUGACAGCAGAAUGCAUUUUGAUUCAUUGUACAGAAUUGCAGCACAACUUUUCAUUUCUCUGGUUGUAAAUGAUGUAGCAUCACACCAUAUUUGCAAUCAUACCUGUAGCUAGGGUAAUGAUGUCCAUCUCAUUCCACUGAUCUCCCUUAUUUCCAUGACUCCACCUCCCCAGACUCUUCUUUUGGGUCUCACUAUUUUGAUUACACUGGCUUUUUGAGCUCCUUGGGCAAAGUUCCACCCAGAGACUUUGACUUUCCUGUCUUCUCUUUAUAUGGAUAUGAAAAAAGUUAUCAGUGUGGUUCACGUCUUUGUUUCCCUAAGGCUCUUACUCCAUGUUUUGGCAAGGGCUUUCUUUCCCAUUAUUUUUCUUAGAACAUCCCACUCCAACAUUAUCUAUCCCACACCCCCCUUGAUAUUUCUUCAAUGCUUUCCUCUCUACCCAAACAGACUGUAUGUUUUACCCAUUUAGUUUAUUGUAUGUGUUCCCACCAUUGAUUCUAGGCUUCACUCAGGGAAUGGACAUUUGUCUCUUGUUCACUGCAAAAUCUCCAGGUUUAAUUGCUCAAUAAAUUUCAUUGAAUAAAUGAAUUUAUGCAGUUUUUUUAAUUACAUGAAAAUUUCCUGUAAAACAACAUGUUUAUAGCUCCUCUUGAAAUAUCAGAGUUAGUAACCCUUGGGGUGUGUUUUCCUAGUUCACAACCUGGGAAGGAGUUGCUUUCUUCAGAAACAGGUGGUGCAUGUUUUCAACCCUUCCUGUUUUCUCUCAUCUGUGUUGAUUGUACAAUAUCCGAUUCUCUACAGUAUAACUCAUUUUGGUCCCUUUUGUGUUGGUAGGGAAACCAUACCUUUUCUUUCCACAGAGAUCAUUUUUAAACGACCAGGAAGGAAUUUAAAGGAAAAAUAAUAUCAUUUGUGACUGCUUCGGGGAUGCUAUAAAUCUCAUCCUGAGUCUUUCCGACUGAAUACCUGUGCUCCGUGCCUUCUCUUUAGGUAAUCAUCUACUGUUGUGGCCUUGGCGAACCUCUAGACACUGACUUCCAAACUUUCAGCUGAGCUCUCUGCUGAGGUCCAGACUUGCAUAACCAACUACUCAACUGAGACCACCACUGGGAGUCCUCAGAUCCAUCUCAAAUCCAUCCUGUAAGAAUGCUGUUUUCAUCUUCCUCCCUAACCAGCUUCUCAGACCUUUUCUUCAUCCCCCAACCAGAAUUAUGUUUUCUCCACUGUGUCUUAUAAUCG
rnacentral:lncRNA from 1 species